CUUUUUCAUUUUAUUCUAGAUAUCCCUUGGGCCCUGGAUUUCAUUUCUGAAUGGUUUGAGUAUUUUUCUCUCUUUUUUUGUAACAAAAUGUUAAUUAUUAUAUUUAUUAAAACAUAAUUUAAUGAGGCAAUUAUCCAGCUGUGAAUGCAUGACAGCUAAAUACACAAUUACUGGCCUGAGCACAAGGUUGCUUUGAGAGAUUACCAUUCUUUCUUUUUAUCCUUUUGAAGUUAUUGCAAUGGUAAGCAUGAAAGAUGAGAACUAAGGCUUUCAGAAUCACUGAUGAAAAUUCAAUGUUUAGAGAAUACUUUGAAGUUUUUUCUGGUACUAAGGGUAGUUACUAAUCAAAAGGACUGAAUGUCUAAAAUAUUUUUUUUCAAAAGUAGUCCCUUUUGACUUUGUUUGCUAAUGUUCUUAUUGUAGUGAGCUAUUUUUACUCUAUAUUGGAAAAGUUACAGGUUGGAAUAAAUAAUAUGCUUACAGAUGAGGAGGAAAAAGAUGGUAUCAAUCAAUUCUAGGGGCAAGAGACACAGUUAUAUUGCAGAAGGAAGCUCGUAUUUACAAACCAAAGCCUAUGUAAAUAUCUACUCAUGCCAGAGUUUUAAAUAAUCCUAAAAAUAGAUUUCUAAAUUAGCAGAGGCAGUAUUUUCUAACAGGAAUUUUAUCUACUUGCAAGGAAAUUUCAGCCAAUUGUGGGGUCUGAAUCUUUGAAAAUGAAAAAUGAACAACUCUAGCCUUUUAUAAAAAGCAAACAAAUAAAAGCCAAACCUAUGAGGCAAAUGUAGAAAUUAGAGAGCAAAGUAUAUUCCAUUUAUCAAUACCUUCCACUUCUUAAUUCUGUGGAAUUUUCCCAGUUAUUUACCUGCACCGUCCACAAUUUCCAAAGCCCACCCAAGAGGAAAAUUCUUUUUUAUGAAUGACAACAAUUCUUCUCCCCUUUUUGAAAUGAGGGAACAGAUUUUUUUUUUUAAGCAAGGCUCUACAUUAGAAUUACACAACUACCCAAAUUUCCAUGCGCGUGUGAAAAUGUUUGGAGAACUGUUGUUCCCCAGUUAGAACAGGGAACAAAUUCCAAGCAUCUCUUACUAAGAGGAUUGUUUGAAAUUAGGAAGCAGUCAUCUCCUAGAAAUAUAUGUGGCAGGUUUAUUUUUUUUUUCCUAAAUGGUCCAUAACUAUCCAUUUUGUUCCAUGUUCUGAGUUAAGGUCCUUAUGUUGUAUAAAAUGGAAAGGAACCGAGAGCCUCUUCCUUGUUUUCUGGUUUAAUUUCCUAUAGCAUUCUUUUUUGGGAGGUCGGUGGGGGGUGUACCACAGAUUGAACUCAGGGCCACUGGACCACUGAGCCACAUCCCCAGCCCUCUUUAUAUUUUAUUUAGAAACAGGAUUUUGCUGAGUUGCUUAGAGUCUUGUGAUGCUCUCAGUCUGGCUUUGAAUUCAGGAUCCUCCCACCUUAGCCUUGCAAGUCAGUGGAAUCACAGGAAUGCACCACGGACCUGGCUCCCAGAGCAUCCUUUGUUCUCUCUUUACAUCUUCACUCCUUUCAUGAACACCCGCUCUUGGCAUGCAGAAACCAUAAAUUACCUCUCCAUCAACCACAAAAGAUCUUUACCUGGAGCAUAAUAGUAUGGAUACUAAUCAAAAAAGUAACCAGGUUUCAGAAACACACAGCGUUUCUCCCAGUCAUAUCAUCCCUGAUUUCAGUGUGACUGGAAUCAGUGUCAUCUGCAUGUGGGAGCAACACAGAUAUGGAAGGGAACCCAAGUUCCAUUUGCAAUGGCGAUCACCUUCAGUCCGGCGCUGCUAUUUACUGGCUGGGCAGCCUUCAACCUGUAGUCCUCUGGAAUCUUCUCUGGUUCUCAUGUUACCUUGCAGAGUUGUGGAAAGGGCAGCUCAGUCUAUUUCAAAGAAAGUGUGUCAUUUAUGAUCCUUUGUAACAAGCUAAGGGAAAUAGCAUUUUAAAUCUGAUGCAUAUUUACUAAUAAAAUGGAGAACAAUCGUUGCUAUGGUUUGAAUGUUGGCUCCCUCCAAACCCAUGUUAAAUUUAAUUGCUGUUGUAACCAUAACAAGAGGUCGUGAGGGUUCUAGUUUCAUGAGUGGAUUUAAUGCUUAAUAAAAAGACUUUCAAGUGCAGGAUAAUUUCCUCCAGCCCCUUCCUGUCUUUCUGCAAUGUGAGAAGCAGCAAUCCUCCCCUCCAGGGAGCACCAUCUUGGAAGCUGAGACCAGACCCUUUCCAGGCACCUCCUUGGGACUUGAUGGUGAACUUUCCAGGCUCAGAAAUUGAGAGAAAUAAACUCCUGGUCUUUAUAAAUGACGCAGCCUCAAGUAUUCUGCUAUAGCAGCAAAAAUGGACUGAGAGCAUUUCUAACCUUUCCAAGGACUUAGUACCAUGCUCUGAGUUUCUGGUGGGAUGUAAAAUUGAAAUGCAAUGAAGGAAACUGGACAAUGUCAAACUUGUGUCCACCUCUGUGCCCUG
rnacentral:lncRNA from 1 species